rnacentral:rRNA from 1 species
AUUCCAGCUCCAAUAGCGUAUAUUAAUGUUGUUGCAGUUAAAAAGCUCGUAGUCGAAUUUCUGGGACUUAAACUUAGUCAGUGGUUGCUUUAUGUAGCCGCUUGUACAUUGUUUCUAAGUCCCAUCUUAGUAGUGAUUGUACGUGGUAUUAAAUUAUCGUGUGCAGGAGCUGCUUCGUUUACUAUGAAGAAAUCAGCGCGUUCAAAGCAUACACUUAUUUGUAUUGAAUACUCCAGCAUGGAAUAAAAAGAUAGGACUUUUGGUGCUAUUUUAUUGGUUGCACACCAAGUAAUGAUUAAUAGGGAUAGUUGGGGGUAUUCAUAUUUGAUUGUCAGAGGUGAAAUUCUUGGAUUUCUGAAAGAUGAAUUUAUGCGAAAGCAUUAACCAAGGAUGUUUUCAUCG